rnacentral:rRNA from 1 species
GCGACCGGCGCACGGGUGCGUAACGCGUAUGCAACCUACCCAUAACAGGGGCAUAACACUGAGAAAUUGGUACUAAUUCCCCAUAACAUUCGAAGAGGCAUCUCUUUGGGUUGAAAACUCCGGUGGUUAUGGAUGGGCAUGCGUUGUAUUAGCUAGUUGGUGAGGUAACGGCUCACCAAGGCGACGAUACAUAGGGGGACUGAGAGGUUAACCCCCCACAUUGGUACUGAGACACGGACCAAACUCCUACGGGAGGCAGCAGUGAGGAAUAUUGGUCAAUGGACGCAAGUCUGAACCAGCCAUGCCGCGUGCAGGAUGACAGCUCUAUGAGUUGUAAACUGCUUUUGUACGAGGGUAAACUCACCUACGUGUAGGUGACUGAAAGUAUCGUACGAAUAAGGAUCGGCUAACUCCGUGCCAGCAGCCGCGGUAAUACGGAGGAUUCAAGCGUUAUCCGGAUUUAUUGGGUUUAAAGGGUGCGUAGGCGGUUAGAUAAGUUAGAGGUGAAAUCCCGGGGCUUAACUCCGAAAUUGCCUCUAAUACUGUUUGACUAGAGAGUAGUUGCGGUAGGCGGAAUGUAUGGUGUAGCGGUGAAAUGCUUAGAGAUCAUACAGAACACCGAUUGCGAAGGCAGCUUACCAAACUAUAUCUGACGUUGAGGCACGAAAGCGUGGGGAGCAAACAGGAUUAGAUACCCUGGUAGUC